AUUAUUGUCCCGUCAAUAGCUGAGGUCGACACAGCACAGGGUAAUUGGCCGUAGGAUUUAGGGGAAGAUAGCUGCGCACGAUCUUCAAAUACAAUUUCCUUCUAUGGGAGCGAGCGAUUAAUGAUAUCCCCUUAAUGUGUAUACGCAUGUGUGUCCGCACUGUAUAAAACGACUAUCUCUAACGACAGGCGACAAUAUCAGCCAUCGUCCCGCGAUACACUGCACAGAGUUCCACGGUUAUUUCAAACCUCACCAUGAAAAGAAUUGCGCUUGUUGUAGUGCUGAGCGUCUACCUUGCGGUUGUGAGCGCCACAAGCGAACCCCCCACGUGCAAUUGGCAGUACGAAGAAUCUGGUCGACUUAGAUGCUGUGAAGCACGCGAUGACUGCGCUUGUUUCAUCCCAGACGGGCAGGUCAAUAUCUUCCCUGCAGACAGCGGCGUGCCCUUGUGUAAACCCGCCUGCAAGUGGGCCUAUAACCCCGACGGCACGCUGAAGUGCUGCAAAAAACAAAGGAGUCCAGAAUGCACGUGCACACCUCCCGAGGGAAGUGAAAACGACCUCCGCCAAGGAGCCCCCAUCCCAACUUGCGAGCCACCAACCUGUAAGUGGCAGUAUUACAGUGACGGUAGCCUGGCCUGCUGUGAGGCAAGAGCCAACUGUGCAUGCUUCAUCCCAAAGGGCAUCAGAAACCCUUUCCCUUUAGACACUGGCGUCCCUCUAUGUCCUAAACCAACGUGUCCAUGGAGCCUAAACUUUAACGGCAGCCCGCAGUGCUGUGAGGGUGAUGAAUUCUGCAAAUGUGAAGCUCCUGAAGGUCAUUAUUUCCCUGCCGAUGGCCCUUUUCCAAUUUGCCCGAGCAAAUAUGUUUGAUAUUGCACAUGUAGUGCACUGUAAGCCACGCACUGGUCUUAUGUGUGAAAUUUGUAGGUUCAAUUGUGACUUCAGUAUUGGGAAUAAAAUAAUCAUGUCGAUCUUA